rnacentral:sRNA from 1 species
GGGACCCUGGUCUUGCUGUCCCCCGCUGGCCUCCUGCCCAAGCGACUGCGGCCAGGAUGGGCCGGAAGGUGACCGUGGCCACCUGCGCACUCAACCAGUGGGCCCUGGACUUCGAGGGCAAUUUGCAAAGAAUUUUAAAGAGUAUUGAAAUUGCCAAAAACAGAGGAGCAAGAUACAGGCUUGGACCAGAGCUGGAAAUAUGCGGCUACGGAUGUUGGGAUCAUUAUUACGAGUCGGACACCCUCUUGCACUCGUUUGAAGUCCUAGCGGCCCUUCUGGAGUCUCCCGUCACUCAGGACAUCAUCUGCGACGUGGGGAUCCCCGCCUCAUCCGGCAUGGACGUGGCACCUUGGCUCGCUUCUUCCUUGGCAUCUGCCUGGCACAUAUUCUCCUGCCACUCGCGUGCGACCCUCACCGUGACAUUUGUGGACUGGGGCCUCUUCUAAGCAGCACAUGGAUGGGAAUUUUAGUGCCCUGUUCACACGGAUGAUGCUAAUUGGUCCUGUGGACUCUCUUAGUUUCCUUUUGCCGCUCUGAUGAAUUUCCAUGGACACAAAACACACAAGCAACACCAGUCUUUUAUCUAAUGGUUCUGAAGGUCAGAGGUCAAGGGGUCAGGGGUCAGCAGCAAGCCUGGUUCCUUCCGGAGACACUCCAGGAGGAUCUGCGUCCCUGCCUUCUCUAGCUUCCCUGGCCUGUGGCCCCUCCCAGCUGUGAUGU